CACUCAGUCAUAUCAUUCUAUUUACAUGAAACAUCCAGAAUAGGCAAAUCCAUAGAGACAGAAAGUAGUACAUUAGCAGCUUCCCAGGGCUGGAGGAAUGUUUGGGAGAUGUGGAGUAAAGUGACUGCUAAGGGUAUGUGUAAGGAACAUGGCUGUGCUUCGGUCAAGGAUAGGCUGAGGUAGGAUGUUUACAUUUUGCAUGACUCAGCGAGUUCAGAGCACAGCCCGUAUAACUCCACUUGUUAUCACAGCCAUGUAGCCAUAACAUGGGAAGGCCAUCCCUUGGCUCUACGCCAUUAUUGUCUGUAAAAGGUAUAAUUGCCCUCACACAUAGCCUUAGCAGACACUAAAGAGAGAGCGAGUCAGAGCUGUCCGUCUUUGCAGAUGGACAGAGGGGAGCUAGGACACAGCUCGGCUGGCUUGUGCUCAAAGAGAGAAAGAGUUAAGCUGCUGACCCUGAAGCUAAGGGAGAGCCAGCCAUACAGCUGCAGGAGUGGGGGCGGCAGGAGCCACAGAGCCGGAGUAGGCACCAAGAUAAAGGCGAGCAGUGUAGAGAACUAGUGUAAGAAAGCUGUUGAUGAGAGCUGCUGCUGAAUAAAAUCAUCUUUCUCCUGCCUACAGCCCCCCUAGUGUUCUUCCUGCUCAUCUACCCACUCCCUUCGGACCUCAACAUGACAUUUGGUGUAGUUGUGAACCUGACAGUAUGUGGCUUCUUUUGGCUAACGAAAAUGUUUUAACUGGUUGUGGUAAUGCUUCCACAACUCUGUGAGUACAUGAGAAGUCACUGAAUUGUACACGUUAGAUGGGGGAAUUGUAUGGUAUAUGAAUUAUAUAUUCACAUGAAUCUAUGCAUCGAUACCUGCUUUUUUUUAAAGAGUACUGAGGAAAAAAAAUAAAAACCCUAUACAACUAUAUUAAACAAAAACUUAACCACAAAAUCUUUAAAAUAUUCACUGUGAUUAUUUCUAGGUGAUAAAAUUAAAGGUUAUUACUUUCCCCCUUUCACUGCUACUAUAUUUUCAACAUGCACAAAUACUGUUUUUAAAGAGAAAAAAUAAACCUUCAUUUUAAGUGAUUAAAACAGAGAAAACACUGGUUAAUAUAACAAACUUCUCAGCAUGCCAAAUAGAGCUAUUUGCAGUGAAAAAUAUCAACAUAAAAGACAUAUUUAUCAAAUUCUGGGAUGGCAAUGUCUUGGGGCUGGAGUACAUCUGACCCACGUGUGGGUUAGCCAUGAAUGAUUGACACACCUGCUGGGCCACUGUUGAGAAAGGUCUCCUUUCUAAAUACCACUUUGAUUGGCAUCAAGAAGCCUGGAACUGGAGUCAAAACAUAUGGAGCCCCUUACUAUGUUGAGACUUCAGUUUCCUCAUCUGUAAAAUGUGGAGAGAAAAUAAAUAAGGUGCAAUUGGAUCCAACUGAACUACAUCAGUAGUUCUCAGCCCUGCAGAAUCAGCCUCCUCUGUGAACUUAAUAGAAAUGUAAAUUCUCAGACUCCACCUGCAACCUACUGAAUCAGAAACUCUAGGAAUGAAGGGCAGCAACUGGUGGUUAAGCAAACCCUCCUUGUGACUCUGAUGCAUGACAGAUUUGAAAACUACUAAUCACUAUUUCUUAAGGGGUUGAUGACAAAAAUCACCAUUCAGUACCUGGGGAAUAUUUUCAAAUCACAUAUCUCCAAAUCAUAGGCAUUUUGAAAUGCCCCUUUAAGGCCUUCUAUAUUCUCUUCCAAACAUGUACACACAUGCACACACACACACACACUCUUCAAUUGCUGCCAUAAUUAGCCACCAUCACUCAUAACCAUGCCUCUCUCUCAGGUGUCAAGGAAUAGUCAAAACCAUUUAAAACCUUCAUACAGAUUUCCUCUAAUUUCUUUCAAUUCCAAAAUCCUGUGGUCUAGCAGAGUGAAAGGAACCACCCCACCGAGCUGGAAUAGCUAACACUGUAAUUUCUGGCAAAAGCCAGUAGACAUCUUUUCAGUUGGGAAGGCAUUUUAGCACUUUGGAAUUUACACCCCCUUCUUUUUGGAGAUGCCUCCUGUUGCAAAUGCUUAUUCCUACCUUUAUUGUAUCUCUGUCUUGUUCAUAACACUUUUCAUCUCUUACAUUUAACUCCAGACAUCUUCAAAAACUUCCUGCUGACAGAUUAAAAUAUUCCUACCUCCUGUCUUCUUCCUCACCCAGUUCUACUUUUCUUAAUGUCUGUUGUAGCAUUUUACGGCCAAAAGCUAGCUGUGAUUUUGAGGAAUUGGUAUGUCAUUUAAAAUUAACUGUAUACCUCAGCAGCAUGUAGGAGGAGUUAAUUCUUUCACGUAACAUUCAAUUAAAAUACACAAUGUACACACACUUAAAGAGAAAGGUGAUAUAAAAGCAGAAAUUCUAAACAUUGCUUUGCCUAUCUGAAGGAAUCUAAAUUUAUAUUUUGUCUGCUAAUUUAUUUGCUUGUCACCACUGAUCUUUUCUAAGAGGCCCAAUUUCUUUGCCCAGCACUUUUUUUUUUUUUUUUUUUUUUUUUUUUUUUGCAAUACCCAGGAAUUUCCGUAAGUGCCCUCAUCUGAAAACUACACAGAAAAUGUUUGCAGGCUGAGCAAGGAAGGAAGAGAAGAUGGACCUCAAGUUGAAUAUCUUUUCUCACCUUUAGAAUACAGCAAAAAUAAGGAGACGCAAUUUGUUAUACUCACAUUGUUGAAAAGAUUAGCAGAAGUAAUCUCCCUUAGCUACAGGCAAAGACACCAACAAAGAGCUUGCUUCAUCUGCCAACUGUUCUAUGUCUUAAGGGAAUGUGUUGAUUCACUGAAUGACUGAACUAAGCUAUUUGCAGGAUAUAUGAAUAUUGCCUCUAAUCCAGGUGCUAAAUGUAUAUGUUGCAGGACUGUGUUCUCUGUCAAACACGAUCUGUAACAUGAUAACAGCACUAUCUCUUUUCCUCCCUUCUCUACUUAUUUUUCUGUAGCUGAAGAGAAAGAUUCUGUCACCUAUCAGUAAUAUUUGGACCUUUUACGUAGUUUUUGCAAUUCAGCCUACAAGACAUUGAUGGACCUCAUGAUUUUGUCAGUUUGCUCAAAGAAUUUUAACAUCAUAAUAAGAUGGUAUUUUUGUAUUUAUUCAUUCCUGUCAAACCAGAGAUCUGGAAAAGUAUGUCCAUAACACAUAUUAAAUCAACUGGGAAAGGCAGACCAUUCAAACACACUUGUUUUGCUUUCUAAAAUAAUCUGGUAGCCCGUUUUACCAAGGACAAAUGUGAAGUUAAUUUGUCUUUGAAGUCCUCUUGUUUCCACUUCCUCCUUAGCUCUUCUGCUACUAAAAAUAUUUGGUGCCUCAACUCUAUUAUAGUUCUUUGCUUUCUUCUGAACAGAUUUAAUAUACCCCAGGGAUAUUUUUAAUUCCUCUCUGUCCCCAAAACUUUAUCAAACUAAAGGACUGUAUUAGUCGGAUUUGUGUUGCUUUAAAGGAAUACCUGACACUGGGUCAUUUGUAAAGAAGAGGUUUAUUUUGUCUUAUGGUUCUGCAGACUGUACCACAAGCAUGACACCCACAUCUGCUUGGUUUCUGACGAGGCCUCAGGAGGCUUUUACUCAUGGUGGAAGGCAAACAAGAAGCAGGCAGUCACAUGGGCUUUCAUCUAAAGGAGGAACCUCACAAUUUCAAGAUGGUAUUUGCUGACUUUAAUAGAGCUGGGGGCUAAUUCACAGACAAUCUCAUAUGCAGUCACUGGCAGGAAGAGCAACUUCACUCCACCUCCUUUUGCCCGAAAGAUGAAAAAUAAAUAAUCAGUUUCUCAAAAUGAUUCUGCAAUGGUGAGUCCACCCUGAACAGCAGAAGCACGCUGUUUGGGUGACAGCCUUUGGAAAAACACGCCAGCCCCUGUUAGCACAUGUGGCAAAAGUCUAGAUGUAUUUGUCACUCUGACAGCACUGCCAGGCAAGUGUCCCUCUGUCGCUACACGGGAUGAAAGGUGUGGACAGCCCGUCCAAACAUGGAAGAACACCUUCAGUAGUUAUUGAUUCCAGGAGAGGAGGUCUCAGAAGAGGGUACACCCUUCCAGUGCCCUAAACUGAACAUUGCUAGGGCUGGGGAUAGAAAUACCACUGGGGGUCCGUUUGCCAUUCCCCACUCUGCAAACUUUUGGGCAUCGUCCAUUUUACUCUUUAUUGUCUAUCCUGUUAAACAGCAGUGUGAAAGGAGGACUCAUUUCAAAGGGAUCUAAGAAAAUUAUCCUCUUGUCAUGCAGAGCUUAAGGUUAAAGAAUAAGACAUUUACAGUGCUAAUUGUUUUUCAAAGAAAUAAUCUGUAACUACUUGCAAGAUUUUUUUUUCUCUAAGUCCCCUCACUUCAGAUAUCUAUUAUAUAGAAUUGUUUGGUGGCACAGUUUUGUACAGAAGACACUGUUUUAUCAAUAUUUUUCCCUUCUUAAGUAACUGUGGAACCAUCUGGCAUACAGUAAACAGGCUUAUGCAUUAACACUGCACUCAGGAAACCUUGCAGUUAGCAAUUAAUUUUAUCCCUGAAUAAUGCAGUAGAAAUGAUAAUCGAUGGGACAAAAAUGGACAGUAUUGGAAAAGAGCUUGAAAAGCAUCAUAUGUCCACAGAUGUAGGGGUUCCUAGGCAUUCGCUCAGAUCAGAAAUCAAAUCAAUGUCAGAUUAUCUUAUAUUUUAUGGAUCCUUGUUGGUUGCAUAAAUGGCAGCCCACUGAUCAUAAAUUCCAUGCAGUCUUCCUUUAAUGACCUUAAUGGGUUGCCAUUAUUUUACUGUGCUAUCAUUCAAAAAAAGCCCAUCUGGUAUUCAUAAAUAGAUGCAGUGGAGUAUGGACUUUGACAGAUAUAAAUGCAACUGAAGAAUAUCUUCAGAUCAGGCAGAAUCAGGAGCUUCUCUGACAAAACACCCUCAAUGGGUUUCCAUGAUUCUUUUGGUAAAUGAAUCAACCUAAAUGUCCACCAUUAGGGACUGGUUAAGCAAAUCAUGGUUCUUUUACAUGAUGGAUUAUUAUUUUUAAAUAUUUAUUUAAAUUCAAGUAUUUUGAAAAAUAUUUAAAUGGCAAAAGCAUGAUACAAACUGCAUGUGUACUAUAAUCUCUACCACAUAACCAAAUUGCACAGAACUAUCAGCGAAUAACUUUCACUCUUCCAGUCUCAGUUUCUUCUCCUCUCUAAUGAGAAGUGUCCCAGUUGGAGUUCCCCCAGAGCAUACCCACCCUGAUCAAGUGUUUGAGUGCAGGCUGUUUAUCAGGGCAAUGACUUCAGGAGGCCCGGCGAAGAGUGAGUGGGGAAGUGAAAUCGAGAAAAGAAAAAAGGGUGCUGAUCAAUGUGUUAAUUCUGAAACACUAAAGACAAAUCCUGCAGGAGCUCCUCUGAGAUGAUCACUACUCAGAAUUUCCCACUGUAGUAUUCGUUCAUUAGCACUCAUUCCUUAUUCCUUGCCAUUUGUUCCUUGGGCACUUAGGCCUGUACCAUGUGGACCAGGCAGCUUCCGCAGCCAGAGGACACCCACAGGCAGAGAGCUGCAGGAAACCUUCCAAGCAUGGAACCAUCUCCAGGUUGGGCCAACCAGAAUGUAGGCAGAGUCAGACAGAAUCUGCUGGAAGGUGACUGGAUUAGAUGACUUCUAACAUGCCUUCAAUCCCUGAAAGCUUAUUUAACAGAGAGGGGUGGGGUUGAACGCUAUAGUAUUACAUCUUUAGAAUUUUUGGCAAUAAGCUUUAGAAGCCUGUGACCACAGUUGUAAACUAACCCUCAAUCCCAUCAGGAAGUCUGAAAGACAGUGUAGGUUAUACCCCUGGAAUAUGCUGAAUAAACAGAAUUGAGGUUUUUAUCCACUAACGACCAUCAGUUAUGUCUUGAAGACUCUUCCAAGUAGAGCAUCAGCCCCCCAGCAUUUGUGGCUGAUGCCACAGGUAAGCAGAGCUGACUUGGGUGGCCAGAAAGUACCCUCAGGCAAAGAGCUAUGGUGCUUGGUGUUCAAAGUCAGCCAGCUUGCAUGGAAGUUGUGCUGACAAAGGUAUAUAUGGUGCACUGAGAACAUCUGCUCUAAAGGAGAUCAAUUUGUUAAGCCCCAAUGGUAUAUGCAGAUUUGAGAACUCUGUGAUGUAUCGUGUACAUAGUCUGUAGAUUAUUCUAGAUUGUUCUACCUGCAGAGGCCACUGGGGGAAAAAACCCAAAUGUGAACACUUCCAAACAAAUUCAAGCUUAUUGCCUCCAUCAAGCAUCUCCUAAUCAGCACAGCCAAGCUUCUUCAUUUUCUUCAAACUGUUUUUUAUGAAGGUUUUGUCUCUACCACCCAUUCAGAACUUACUGCAUUCUUUUUUUGUUUUACAAGAAAAUGGAUGACUUAUCUUCCUAACUAUAUUGUAAGUUUCUGCAGAAAAGAGUCUCUGUCUUACUAUUCUAUGCCAUUCUCAGUGCCUAGCACACAGCAAUAUUCUACAAAUACUUGUUGCCUUGAAUAAACUGUAAAAAGUAAGUAUAGAAAAUACUAAAAAGAAAUAUGUUUGAAAAUGG